rnacentral:rRNA from 1 species
AUUGAACGCUGGCGGAAUGCUUUACACAUGCAAGUCGAACGGCAGCACGGACUUCGGUCUGGUGGCGGGUGGCGAACGGGUGAGUAACAUAUCGGAACGUAUCCAAUAAUGGGGGAUAACGAGUCGAAAGAUUCGCUAAUACCGCAUACGCCCUACGGGGGAAAGCUGGGGACCUUCGGGCCUGGCGUUAAUGGAGCGGCGGAUAUCUGAGUAGCUAGGUGGCGCGGUAAAGGCUGACAAAGGCGACGAUCAGUAGCUGGUCUGAGAGGACGACCAGCCACACAGGAACUGAGACACGGUACAGACUCAUACGUGAGGCAGCAGUGGGGAAUUGUGGACGAUGUGGGCAAGCCUGAGCCAGCCAUUCCGCGUGAGUGAAGAAGGCCUUCAGGUUGUAAAGCUCUUUCGCAAUGGAAGAAAACUGAGCCACUAACAUUGGUUGAGGUUGACGGUACCUUGAUAAGAAGCACCGGCUAACUACGUGCCAGCCGCCGCCGUAA